rnacentral:tRNA from 1 species
GAGCCCGUGGUUUACGGUUUCCUAAACCGCAGGCCACAGGUUCGAUUCCUGUCGGGGUCA